ensembl:lncRNA
CAUUAACAGGCACUAAUCGUACAGCAGAACUCAGAUUGGUUUUUUAGAAACUCAAUCUCAGUUGUCCAUCAGAGUACUUCUAGUAUUAAACCUUCUUAGUAUAUAAAAAAGAAAUCCUUGCCCAUGCUACCAUUUCCUGAUUGAGAUGACCUAAAAAACAUCUGUUGCUUAUCCAUGCCUUGGGUACAGAGCAGUGUAGGUAAAAGCUUCCCUGCUGAUGUGCCCAGCCUGGUUCAUAAGGAUAUUCUUUGAAGAAGGAUCAGCAUGGAUUCAUCAAAAUGGAAGGUUGCACUCUGAAAGAUGUCUAUGUGCGCCCUUCCCAAGCACUCAGAGGACAAAGCACAGCCCAUCAAGGCUCAAGAACUUCAGCCUUCCUGGGUCCAGAGAUCAACUGGGGAAGAAGAAAUAUGAACGCCUUCUCCUGAGAAGCAGGCUUAAAUACCGUCUGGAAUUAGUUCAUUAGUUCAUAUUCCAACAAUCGGGUCAGACUGUAAUGACAAGGCCCAGUAACUUCCAGUCAUAAUCACAAAUUCAGUGCCACGCAGACAUGGCUAGAAAUAAAACAGGCUGUUUUGCUACUCAGCUUUCUGGGAAAUGUACUUCUAAUCUGCCCAGCAGAAAGUCAUUUCAAGCCACUUAGGCUUGACAAUUCUCAGUGUGGCUCAGAUUUAGAUCUGGCCAGACUUUAAAAUGCUGCAAACACAAAAUGGGUGAUAGACCUCCAGCAAUACUAUGGUUUCACCUUCUUGAUAGUUUUUCAAAACGGACUGGUAACCAAAAUACAGAACACUUCUGAAUAUUUAGCCCUUCCUUCUGUCCAUCAUGCUGAGGUUAAACCAUCCCAAGACAAGGACCUUGGAAGAAGAUCCCUCAUACUUCAUCUUGCCCUGUGCUCUUACUCAAGGCAGGAUCUCCUUUGCCUUUGCUGGGAAAUGGCUUUCCUAAACAUCACGACUAUGGCUAGACUGUUGAGUCAUCCUGCAAUAAUUGUUUUAAUGACAAUUAAAAAGCCUUACUUCUGAUCAUUUAAAAGAACAUUAAAUUUCAGCCCUAAGGCAAUGAACUACUGGCAAAAGAGGAGCAGUUUCAAUGAAUUCAAGGAUUUCCUUGUCUCUCUUUCUCUUUUCCUCUCUCUCUCUCUCUCUCAUUUUUGCCAGCUAACAUCAGACAAACAGGGCUUGCAGGGAGAAGUAAUAUACUUCAUUAAACCAAAUGAUGCUGCUAGGAGAAGCAGACAAGCUUUCAGACACAUAGUUCCUUCAGGUCAAACAUCAGGUCAAUAAUUUUGAAAAUACUGCAAAAGCAUACUUAUCUCCAGUCAUAGCAAAUGCACUUUUGAGCUUUACCAAUGCUUAUUAAACCGUUAACAUUUUGGUUUGGGAAUGGAUGCAAGCUCUGCGCAGCGCUGGAGCAGAAGACUUCUCCAUUAGAGUUUACAGAUGAAAGAGAGCAGAAUCUAAAAAACACUCCCCGGUCUGUGCAGCAAAUGCCCAUUCUGUACAGUGCAAUGCAAAUAUUUUCCCUUCCUGGAUUUCAAAAUAUUUUAUUUGAAGUCAUUGAAUUACUCAAAGGAUAUUUUAAUUUUAAUUUUUCUUCGUGCCUGAAGAAAUGGUAUGUGGAAACAUCUUCUCCAUGCUAAUCCUUCACCCAUCCAUUACUGUCACAGUCAUUCCAGUCCAUUUUCAAGACUGUUUGGAAAAUCCUACAUUGUACCUUCUCUCUCUCAUCUUUCUGGAGCUGCUUUAUUAUUCUGUCAUAACGAAACAUAGAUGAAGAAAUUACAAGUCUUCAUUCUCUUUUGGCACUUCCAUUUGAAAAAGGAGAAAGAGAAGUUCAGGUGUUCACUUCAAGGACAACAUGAAGUCUGAUCACACUCCCCUUCCUCCUGCCAGGUUUCAUCACACUUUCAGGGUAUUUUGGAAGGCAGAAAGUGCCUCACUGUGCUUUGUGACUUUGGGUGCAGCAUUUCAACAGCUGUUCCAGUUUGCUUUAGAGAGAACAAAGAUGCUACAAAAUUCUGAUUUUCUCAACUCCCUGAGGCUCUGUUAUGAAGUAUUUAGCAAGUGACAACGAUCCCAUUUGUGACAUUCUUAUUUCUAAGUUAGCAGUGAUAAUCCCACAUGGUUUUAAAAGGGAUCCUGACAUACCAAAAGCUCUGUCUUUUAGGUGAAAUAUAGAAACCCAAUCCUUCUGUUCUCAGCAAUUACAAGUUCCUACACAAACCAGUUGUUAAGGUUGGUGUCCUGGCCAAACUCCAGCCUGUCAUUCUGACUCCUCACUCUUCUCCCACCCUUCCUCCUUCUACCCGAGGGCAGAUAUGGCAGGAAAAGAAGCAGCACACAAAUGCACACUGUCUCAAAGGUGUGCAAUGCAGCACUGGGCUUGGAAAGCCCCACGGUAUUUACACCAUACUGAAUGCAGGAAAAUAAAAGGUGAUCUACACAAGCCAUUAAAUCCUUAUUUGGAAGCUUUAUAGGACUAAAAAUACCAUAUAUAUACAUUGUACAAUGAAAUAUAAAUACACAACACUGAACAUAAACUGUAUAUAAACACUGUAGUUCACUAUGAAAAAAUAUCUGUGAAUUAAGCACCUGACUUCAAGUGUAUCUGAAUAUACAACAACAGAGCUGCUGCAGGCUGGCUCGACUUCCAUAUGUGCAAAUACUUUCUGUAUAUACGUUAACGCUCAUAUAGCAAAGUAAAGCAUGGUUUACAAGUAAUAAAAAAGACAGAAUAUCCUACAAAAAGUUAUUUUUAACAGCAAAAUGCAAAGAACUUAAAAACAGCUAGUACACAGAUUUAAAGAAUUGUUAUAAAUUAUUGUGGGGAACUUGGAAAAAUAAACUGACCAGCCAUUUGAAACUGUGUAGUUCUAACAGGUUAUUUUGGGUCCUAGUACUUUAAUAUUAAUAAGAGAAUUAACAUAAAUGUAAAAAUAGCACAAGCAGUAGCCUGCUGACCUGGUAAUGCACUGUAGCAAAGAACUGAGUGGAGAAUCUUAUUGCCAUCAGCAUAACUGCCCAAAGGAUAGCAGCAACCAACAAAACAUCACAUCAUGGGAAUAAUCAUGAACAUCUGAAAUUUUCAGUGGCUUCCGCACUGGGUUAUGUUUUAAGCUGUAAUGCACUGUAAUCCUCUUCACAUGCAUACAAACGAACAAGUACCAAAACCCCAGACAAACUUGUCUGUCUCAAACCUUUGUCUAUUUGGGGUGCAGGGGAGGAAGAGAGAGUAGAGCACAAUUCCUACAUAUUCUGUACGAACUCCAUUGAAACCCCAGGCAAGAAACAUUUAUAUUCCUGUGGCAGAAAUCUCGCAGCAUAACCAAGUGAAUCACAAAUAGGUUAAAACCCAUUUUGCUGACUUGCGGAGCCCUCUGAAGACAGGAGGCUGAAACUGUGUGUGUGCAAUCAGUAACCUGGAACAGGAGUCCCUGUGUAGCAGUGGCUUCACAUGUGGAAGGUGGCAGUGGUGUGACAGCAUACACCAACAUACUCAUUUAAUUAGCAUUAGGCUUAGUGCUGCCCUCUGAUAAAUGUACAGCAGUUGGUAAAAGGUCUUUGCUUGCAUCCUCCUAACACAGUCAAUUCAAUCUACCACAAACUUGUGGCAGCCAAAAGCAGCCACAACUGCUCAGCCCCAUUGGCAGUCCUUGGCCAGCAUUUCUGCUCAGUGUGGGAACCUGAAUUAGGCAACUGAACAAGCUGGAAACAACCCUCCUGCUUCCGCUGUUGGGCCAGUUUUCAGACGUAUCUGAAGCCAGCUCAACAUAACCUACGUGAUGGAAGCCAGCUUAGUGCAAGGACAAGGGAGGUGGCAGGAGUGAGCAGGCAGGGACACUGCCAGCCCUUGGGGAAGGUGCUCAGGAUCCCAGUCAAGUGCUGAGUUAGAGACCUGAAGCAGAGAAGUUUGCUGACAUCAUGAUGUAAGUCACUGUGUACGCCCUUUCGCUUUUCUGCAAGCUUGUUACAGUUUUCCUUGUUUUCUCUCAAGGAAGGUUCACUGACUAGUCAAAAGAAGCCAUUGUUGGCUCACCCAUGGGUGCAUUUAUCACAGCAGUACAGCUAGCUGGUGUUCCUUUGCCAUGUAGACCUCAGUCUUAACUCAGAGAAUUGAUGAAUGCCUUCUUUACUAGAACUCUAUUCUUUCUUAAGCACAUGAACUUGUACAGCAGAAUUGUAUCUUAUUUUUAUUACUCCACACCUCAAAGUCAUUAAAUUCAUCUCAUAUAACACUCUAAUCUUACUCUUUAUUGACUAUGCCAUCUAAAAUUCUGUAAAUGGCAAAUUUCAUUAGUAGACAUAACUUUUCACAAUGUUGCACAGUUUAAACACUAAAUACGAUCAGGCCUAAGUAGGAGCUGUUGGAUACUCCAGAUGUAAUCUCCCCCAUUGUUUUGAAUCUGAAACUUGAGACUAAACCAAAUCUAACGUACUAAAACACAGGUAACCUACUCAAAUAAUCUAUGGAAUGCACUUUACACACAGAACCAAACUGUAAGGCAGGAAACAGCAAAUGUGGAUUUGCUUCAUGCUCUGUUUUUCCCCCCAAUAAAUAAGUAUAGGCUCCCAACAAGUUGUUAGGCCUUUUCUCAUAUUUAGAGUGCUCAUCUAGAGGCAGACUAGAGGUAAUGUCCAUUGAUUGUUCACACUUGGUGCUGGCUUGAACUGAUCACCUCUUUAAUUAACCACAUAAAACUAGCGGCCUAAAGGUUAUGGUGUUUUGCCCCCCACCUAUAGGGUUCCUCUUCACUGAGAAGUUAUUCCGUUAAAGUUAUAGUGAGAAGAAACCAAUAGCGGAAAUGAUAAAGGAUAUCCCUCUGCUCCAUUUGAAAGAACUGUUGCAAAAAACUUCACAACAAAAAAGAUUUCAAUAAAAUAACAUUUUUUUUCCCUUUGAUGCCUAGGGAAAAGAAAGCAGAAUAUAUUUAUUUUCACUAUAUUUAAAAUGUCUUUUGUAAUAGAAAAAUGAAAAUUACAAGGCAAUGGCACACUACCACAGAGGACAUAGUGUAUUCACCAGCAGUAAUAUUGUAGUCCUCUGAUCUGCCGUAUCCAUGGUUUCAUCUUUGAAAAUGUGAGCAUAAACAUCAUGCGGAUGGGAAAAAGUCAGAAACAAAUAAAGGUUUACUUGGAUUGUGGAUAGAUGGGCUAUAUCCUUAUAGAAUCAGUGUAGAUUUAUUACCCAAAAAGACCUUCUGAAAAAUCUCACCUAUAUAUUAAGAAUGCAGAGGCCACUGUGGAGAUCUGCAAAAUUUUGUCAGGUCAGUACUAGUGGCAUCGCCAUUAUCUCCUUUAAUGAGUCUUGUAAAUGACAAAGUGUCAAACAAUUAACACAUUUCCCCCCUAGUCUUGCACUUUGGAUAACACAUACUCCCCACAAGUGGGAAAGAAUCUAUUUUGGCUUACUUUCAAUUUGUGCAACAAGGGCACAAAUCUAGCCUCAAGAGCAGUGAGUCUGGUAUAUCAUUACUGUUUUCUGCAGGUACGUACACACAUUUAAAAGACAGGAAGGCUUCGGUCUGAGCUCACAAAAUUACUAAUGAUGAAGCAAAAAUUACUGUUGGCAAAUAGGCACUUUGCAUAAUGUGUGAAAUAUUUUAGCACCUUUAAAAAGUCAUGUCAAGUGAUAGGAAAAUACUCUUCCUCCUUGCCUUUGUCUGAAUAAAAACAAAAAUGAGAAACCUUAAUAGCUCUAGUUGAAUUUAUAUAUUCUUUAGUGUUUAACUUCAGAUGCAGUCAUCAUCGUUUUUGGCUGAUAGUACAGGACAAGCAAUAUAUGGGUGAUUUAAGAGCUGGAAUUAAUAGAUAUAAGCAAAGACCUCUAAAAAUUCAAUGCAACAGAUCUGAAGUCAUGUUCUCAUUCUGUGUGUACAAAAUUACUCAGAAAGUAAUUUAGCUCCUCCUAAUAAUGUUUCCUUUUGUGCAACACAACUUGAAGCAAGGCACAACAUCCCAGCUUCUCUCACUGAAAAAGAAAGUUUGGCCUGCCAGCAAAUGCAAACUCAAAUGCAAUGUGCCAGAUCUGAACAGCUGUAUGUAUCCCACUUCUCCCGAGGCUCCAUCACAUGCCACAUGCCAGUCACCAUAAUUAGUGAGAGUUAGAAGGAAAACUCACAGUACAGUUAGGAAAUGUACAGCAUUAUACAUAAAUAAAAGAUUAGUGCUCCCUAGUGCUCUUGUCUCUUCUCUUUCCUCCCCACAGACCAAUAACAGUGUUGAAUUCUGAUGAAGCAAAGCAUGGUUCAACCUCAGGCAUUUUGUGAGGCAGAAAGCAAUUAAUCGGCAUUAAAGUGAUACAUAACAACAUACUUUUUUUUUUCUGGUGGGGAAACGGUCAACUAAAUAGUUAACUUCGGCGCUAUGAACACAUUUUAACCAGAAAUUUACAUUCUUACUUCAUUUGUCAUUCACCACUGUAAAAAAACUUCUACCUGAUUCAUCUAAGCCUUUAAAGAUGGUUUUAACUCUAACCUGCCUAGACAGUCUAUGGAAGCUGAAGGAUAAAAACAGGCCUAAUAUUAAAUGCAUGCUUAAGUGUUUGCUGAAAUGAGAGCUUGGAUUAAAUUCCGAUUGGGUGAUAAAUUGCAGUAGGAGAAAAUACAGUAGAUGUUUUCACCCAUGAUUCUCCAGUCAACAGCAUGAAACAGAGAAUAUUACAUUGCGCCUCCUGUAAGAACUAAUGAAGCCUAAUGCAGUUGCUCAUUUGUUUGUUUGUUUGUUUGUUUCCUGGAAGCACAGACAGAUGCAGGGAAGGAGAGAAAUAAAAGGGAAAUACUGAUCCAAAAUCCUAUCCAUACAUGAUGCUUUUGUUUCAGUUUUGUAAAAUUUGUGCCUUCUGAUGUCUGGGCACACCUAGCGAGAAAAUAUCAAAGAAAUUCAACAAUUUUCUGGCUUGAUUAUCGAAAAUGCUAUGUUGAAAGAACCUAUGAGGUGAGGCACAGCAAGACGGACAGUGUGCCUACAUCUUUCAAGUUUACAACUGUCAAAUUUGUUAAACUAUGCUAUUUUUAGUGAAAUUACAAUUUGGAACUGGCACAUUGAUUCCACACAGUUGGAGCCUGCUUCAAUGCCAGUGAACAUACUUUGAUUUAUUGCUCUUUUAUUCAGGUCAGGAACCAUAACCUUGGGUGCAGCCAACUCAUCGGUCUCUGUGCUUGAGACAAGAGGUGAAUAUGGCCUUUAGAAUUAAAACAGUUUAUGCUAUGAGGGAGAAGAUGACCUGAAACAAAUUUUCUGUAAUUAGCUAUAACUAAAUUUGCCUGCAACUUAAUGAAACAGACAACAGGAUAGGAAAAGAGAGUUGGUUAUUAUUAAGGAAAAUGAAAUCUGGAAGUUGAGAAUGAGCUUAAAUAAAAAAAAAAAAAAUAAAAAAAAAAAAAACCAAAAGAAAACAGAUAACCACCGAGAUAAUCAUUUCUUAGAUAAAUGGCGACUGGAAGAAUUUUAAGGAGGUUUCACUAGAAACACCGUAAGUAUCUUGAAGUAAGACCAGAAAACAAUAAACAUCUGACAAUAUUUAAUUUCUCUCAUCCAUUCAACCUCAGUUCAAAUGUUACUUGUGCAUUCUCUAUACUUUGAUCAAUAAUGUACCAGUAUGUGAAGAACAAGCAACAUCAUCUGCACUCAAACAAAGAAAAGAAAACACAGUAAAGUUGAGGGAGGUGCUAAGAAGGAGAAGAGACAUGGUCCUUGAAAUGCCCUUUCUCAAAAUUAGGAGGAGAAAGAUGGCAGUUACACAAGAAAAAUUAGAAACGUAAGCAUCCAUUGCUUCCUUCAAAACCAACACAUUUCAUUUGAAUCUUCUGAAGACCUGUAUAAUAACAGGAGGCGUUUACUGCACUGUGCUGAGCACAAGAACUGUCUCCAUUAGUGCUACUAGGAGACAAUGAAAGGAAAUUCGACCUUUUUUGCAACCUGACAAAUCACUAACAGUCCCUCUCAGCCUGAUGGUGGCUAUGUUUGAAAAGCCUAAUGUUCUGACAGAUGUCAAGGAGAAGCAUAUAAAAAAAAGGCAAUCUUAAAACAAAAUCCAUGAAAAUAUGUAACUUGUAAACCUGGCACUAUUCCUUUAAAGUGAAAACAAUUAAGCACCAUUUUAAGCAAAGUAGCCAGAGGGAAUGACAGAAAUCAAAUAUUUUUAUUUCCAGAUUAAGUAACAUUAAGAGAAGAAAAACACAAAACACAAAGAAUAAAAAGGAUUGGUUCUGCAUUGCUAAACCAUAAGGGACAAAAAACAGUGUUGGCAUAACAUUUUUCAUUAACUACAGUAAAAGCAAAACGUACAUAUCAGUGUUACACAUCCUCUUCUUGCCUAAGGCUCUGAUUAAGUUCCCCAAACUUCUUUUGCUCUACAGCUUUUAAUGCACCACCACAUAUUUUUCUGCUAUCAUUGAACAUGUCAGAGAAAUAUCUCUGCAGCACACUAAAUCUAGGUUAAGAAUCAUGGAAACAACAAUUUUUUUUUUCUUACUUGAGAUAAAAAAGCGGCGAUGGUAAGGGAUUUUUUCUAGUUAACUACAUCCGUAUCUGAGAAAUAACAGCCAUGGUUUUGUUACAGCCACAAGUACUCAGGUCACCCAAAGUAAUUGGUGGGUAAUGGCCGCUUGGAGAAUUUAUUUUGCAUAAGAAACCGUCCUGAUACGAAUUGGUACAAGUGGCAUGGCCUCUUCCCAUAUAAAUUCCUUUCAAUUUCUGGUAUAUGCUAUAUGUGCUUAAGGGAAUACAGCAGAGGAAUAUGCAGUCUCUGGAAAUUUACUGAACCACAAUAAGAAAGAAUAGUUCCUUAAUUUUUCACCUCACUGCAUCUCCGAACUGUACAACACUUCCUUGACAGAAUUCCCUUUUCUUUACAAAAGGCCAUAACAUUUACAGUCCACAAUAACUGCUGGGUUGUGACAUCAGUCUUUGUGAAGGCAGGAAAACAGUACUCCUGACACAGACAUCCAGACUGGUGAAGACUGAACAGUUACUGGUUCACCUAUUUGGAUAACAACAUAUGUGCAUACAUUCAGGUGCUCAUAACUUCUCCCUCCUCUUGUUUCUAAAACAGGAUUUUUUUCUUCCAUGUUGUUUAGGAUCCACAGAGGGGAAAGGAAAGCCGUAUAAUGAGAUGCAGUAGAGUGCACAUAGAAAAAAUAUAGAGUAUAUAGAUAAUAUGGAUGUAAUAAAAGAAUAAAAACUGCUAACAAACUUCCCUUUGCAAGCAAGAUUUCCACUGUGCAACACACAAAUAGAACAGUACCUACUUCACCCUCUCCAGCCUCAUGAACUUUUGGGAAGUGGGAUAAUAUUUCAGUAUUAAUAAAAUAAGAUCAGCUGUUAAACUGAUACAGAAAUCAUCUUUGGGCACUAGCAAGCCAAAUUUUCCUUGCAGCAUGAAGGAAGAAAUUUUCAUCAGUUUAAAAAUGAUGUUUUGUGUAUUUGACUUACACAGAUACUCCCUUCACAAAGAUACAUGCUUCCUAACAGAGGAGCAAACUGCAUCUAAAAUUUCCUCCUCCUCCUCCACAGGACAUUACAGAGCAGCUGCAAAAACUGGGUUUAUCAAGUUCACAUACAAAUAGCCACCUUGGAGGAAAGAUGGCACAUGGAUCUCCUCCCUCAGCUCCUCUCAGCAACCCAGAGGUUGCCUGCAGUACUGGGACAGCUGCUGAUAGGUGGGCAGCUGAUGAAUGACACAUGCUUAGAGGGGAAAUCCAUGGAAAGAUAGGAAUGAUCUGCAUUUUUCACCAAAUUAAAACUAAGGGUAAAAAAAAGACGCAUCAACUACCGAAUGCUGAAAUCUAACUGAACUGCUGAGCAUACCCUUUAAGUGAUAUUUCUAUAAACAGCUUGGAAAGCCAAUAAGGCACGCGAGAAAAUUUAUUAUUAUUUUAGACUUUUGCAGACAAACUUGUUCUAAAGGCAUUUACAUAGGUGUGGAGAUUGAUGUAAGAAUACUGAGCCGUGCACUUCGUUUUAUAUUUCAAACCUUGACUGACUUUUUCAGGCACCAUUAAUAUCUCCUUUAUGUACUGAGGUUUGCGUGAAGCAAAUGUACAAUCUGUGUGCAUUGUCAGACUUAAAACCAUUGAGAUAAUGCCUUGGGAGAGAGGUCCACAAAUAAGCGGUCACUCCUACCAGCAAUAAGGUUUAUGCUUAAGUGAGGUUUCUACUCUGCACCCCUCCCUGCAGAAGCAGAGGACCAAACAUAAUUGCGCUUGUAGUGAUCAAAAAGAAGUAUAGGUAUUUUCAGCAUUUUUAUGCCAGCAACCCAGUUAGCUCUUAAAUGAAUGAACCCAAGCAAUUCGUGCAAGGAGCUCCAUCAUCUGACACAGCUGCAUUGAUAUCCAGGUUAGAACUCCAGAACUAAAUAUUUGCAUUAUAUCUGUGAUAUUAGAUCCUCACCAAGCCUCCUGGAGGCUGAAAAUUAUUAUGUUGUUAUAUUUAUUCAUAUCUCUGUAUUGCUAAAAUCUGCCUGGAAACAAUGCGGAGACACAAGAACAAAAAAAAAAAAUUCUGCAUUUCAAACCCAUUCCAAAGUCAAAAUAGUAAUAAUAGCUUUUUUUUGGAGGUUAACAUCAGGGGUUUUUCAACAAAUGGAGUACUAAGGAGGUUCAGACUGCCUGAAAAGAGUAAGUCAAAGCAAAAUACCAACAUUUUUGUUGUACCAUGUAUCACAAUUACUGUUAAUAUACUGCAUUUGAUUUAGUUCCAGUUUCACAUUUCCACUGACAGUCUCCAUAAAAUCAGUGAAAAUUUAGUUACUGGAUUUCUCAUGCCAAUCUCCUGAGUGCAGAAAAACUUUUAGACUAUGUCUAGAAAAAGAUCAUUUAAUAUUGCCAGUAAAACAUCUCAUGCAGAGGCUAGUAAAUAAAACAGUUUCUCUUAUCUAAUUCUAAUGUACUACAUAAUGUGUGAAAUCAUUCCUUGGCAGACAAGCUGAAGGAAUUGGAUGGUUGUUUUCUGUCUUCCUCACUGUCUCCUUCCUUCAGCAGUUUCUCAAUUCUGUAUUUGCCAUGGAACACAGAAAUGACUCAACUUUUUCACCUGAUAAAAUCAGAUUUUUAGCUAUUUUAACUCAAAGAAAUUCAAAACCAGUUGUUUCUUAUAAUCACUUAAGGAAUGAUCUAGCUUGAACAAUUAUACUUCACAAAAACAUUUUCAGUCAUCUUCUAUCAGGGAGAAUGGAUCAUUAUUUGCAUUGUGAAGAAUAUUGUGGCAACCUUCCAGCAGCUGGAAGUGGCUGAAAAGGCUGAGGAACUCCACAGUGCGCUUCAUCACAAGGCAUUAUGUGACACCGCUGUGUGAGGGUAGAAACAGCAAACGUAACCUUCAGGAAAUGUCCUCAUUUGUAAUAUCUGGAAACUGGAUGUAACUCUCAGCACUUGUGUUUCAGAGAGAGUAAUUUGCUGCGGAACAGGCAAAGAGCAAACCUACUGGGAUGGUGAGAAUGGGGAGUCUGUCUGAGCCUGAUUUGUUUAGCUUUCCAAAAUGAAAGCUGCAAGUUCUUAUGAGUGCUAUCCAUAAAUGCACCUGGAGAAAACAUAUUCAGUCUGAAAAAUAACACUGAAUCAGGAAGCAGUGUACAUGAAGUAGCCAUGAUUAAGUUGCAGCUGAAAAGUCACAGGAUGGAGUACUGCCUGUGGUGCAUCAGGAUUCUGUAACUCUCUCCCAUUACCAAUUGGACAAAAUGUUUGACUCAUUUGAGAAGUGAGCUUUAUUAAAUCAUCUAGUCACUUGUACAAUCCAGAAGUCUGGAUUCAUUAACCUUGAAGUGGCAUUUUCUAUCUGGUCCAACACACAUCUGUUUGUGCAGCAUGUGCCAGACCAAGCAUUUCACGUUCUCAGUUUGAGAAUGAUUUUUACUUACAAGCCACACAUUUUUCUUUUUAACUGAAUUAAGGCACUACGGGGACACACAGGUUUAAGAUUACAGGGAACGAUGAAUGGUGAAUUAUACCUCAGGCUACCAAUACAAAACCACUGGAAGAAAACUUCACUUUUCAAUCUCAAGCCUUGCAGAAUGUCCCAAGUUUUUCCCCCUUCAAUUUCCUUGAGUCUCCUUUCCAUCUUUGUUCCCUCUUAACUAGCUCUAACAUCCCACUCGCAGACAGUCCACGUGUCUACAACUCACUGGUAGACAUUAUAUUCUCAAUAUUUUAUUACAGCUAUUAAAAGCCAUCACAGGAUUGGUUUGUUUCUAAGUUUCCAUCAUUUCCUAUUUUAAUUAUGGAUUGUUUAGCUGAACAAAGCCAUAUUAAAUGAAAAGCAUGGUGAAGGAGUAGAGGAAGAACUUUACAAUCACAGCUGACAGCUUAGCUAUUUAUGCUGUAAAUGCAUCAUAAAUAAUUUCUGAGGACUUCAUACAUUUCUGUACAUGGUCUGUAGCAGGCUCAUAAAUAGAUUGAUAAACGUAUAUUAACCAGUGAUAUCCAAACCUCAAAGUAAAGCACUGGCACAGCCUUCUCUCAAAAGCAUCAUGCUUGUUAUAACCUCCAUAGACUCGUUCUUUGUAAGCAGAGAUAAUGAAUAUAGGGAACAUUUUCAAAAUGAGAAUUAUCAGAUCAACUUCUCUUACUAAGGAUCUCAAAUACCUGAGAAGAAUCAAAUUUCCAGAGACUCUCAACUCAGUCAGAAGCACACACCAUGUCAGCUUUCACCAUAAAUCUGAGAGCAGUGUACAGCAUGUAUGUCAGCAACUUAACAGCACCCUCUCCCUACAUUAAAAAGAAGUUUGCAAAAACUAAAAAAAUCUGUUUUCCGAAAUGAUAUUUUGGUGAACAAGUCUUAAUUAACCCCAUGUAAAUAUAUUUGCCAUUUUAGUUUCUAUAUUCUAAAACUUCUUAUCCCAUAAAUUUCUGAUGCCCCAUGACCUCCUCAUCUGCCUUAUGUCUGCAAUAGGACAUACUUAACUUCUCUACAGACAUGCAUGCACUAAGUAUAAAGGAAUAAUAAAAAUUCAGAAUUUAUAAACUUAGAUAUUUUUUCCAGAAAUAGUCAGUGACAUAACACAACAAUGUACAAGGAUUAAAAGAGACCAGACAUUUAUGGAAGUAAAAACUGUCUUGAAUUAGCUCUGUCCCUUUACCCACCUUGCCUUUCCCCCUGCACCCUCCUCUUCCUCACCUUCCUGCUCCCCAAGCCAGCCUGCAAUCUCCUAGAGCAGGGACAUGCAAACCAGCACAGCAGAUAACAUAGAUUCUUUAAGGUUUGAUCAGUGUGGUUUUUCUGUUUGUUUGUUUUUUAAUUGCUCUUGAGGAUGGCCCAACCUGAAGAGGUACCUGGACAGCUGCACCAUAGCCUAACAAGAAUGAGAACUGAACAUGAAAGGUUACAGAGGGAUAGAAUGUGCCAAGAAGUGAAGGAACACUGGAAAUGACAGAAAGAAAUCCAAAGACGAUAAUGAUGAUUUAGUCUGAUGUGCUGCAAGACCUGAGUGCUGUUAAAUGGGAAAAAAAAAUUGUAUUAAAAAAAGUCUUGGGAGACUAAGUGAGUACAGCUUCAUACAGAACGUGAUUCAGAGAUAAUCACAACAUGAAGGAAUGGAAAAUGUAAGCACAUUACGUGUAUUAAAAGACACAAUGAUAGCAGAGUAGCAUGGUAUGGUAAGACUGUGAAAAAAAAUAGGGAAAGCACAGGAAUGACAGUGCAAAAUCUUCUGUGAUCAAAUCAUUUUAGAGAAAUAUGGUAAAAUAAUACUAGGCUCCAUUAAAGAUCUCCACAGUUGGACUUGAAUUAAGCCAGAGGUCUUAAUGUUAGAGAAAUUCUGUCAAAAAUGUUUUCAACUUUGCAGAAGGAGAGGAAAAAAUGGCAGGAGGCAGAUGUCACGUGGCAGCAAUUACUGCAUUUCAGGGAUUCAGAACAAACAAAAGCAGGAAUAUCCCACUUCAGUCAUCCUCCCAGUACAAUCUCAUCACAGAACAUCUCUAUGAGAUAUUCUUUUUGACAGCUGUAUUAUUAAGAUAAUGCUAUAGGAGACUUGCAAUAACAUCUAAUUAUGUAGAAACAGAGAGGAAAAGAUUUGGAUCAAAUGUCCAGCCACAGAAGGAUUACAAGCCUGUAAUACCCUACAGCUGUGAAAAAUUAAACUAGGAGAGGUAUUUGAACAGUACUAGUGAGGCCUCAUCUGGAAUAACGUAUGCAGUUCUACUCAUCUGGAAUAACAUAAGCAGUUCUACCCAAGGAAAAUAAAUUCUAUCUGCAUUCGUAGUAUGUUUGAGGGAAUCACCGUUUAUUUUAAGAGGAGAUCCUUGGUUUGUAUAACCUCACAAAAUGAAAGUUGAGAAGGAUUUUAUCUAUUUUCCACUCUUCCUUAUCGUAGGGCUAACCAGCAGCAAGAAGGAACUGUUCAGCUAGAGGUUGAUGUUGGCACUAGAACAAAUUAUUCAAACUGGCCAUAAAUACACUUGGGUGAGAAAUUACAGUAUUUCUAACUACUUAGUAAGCAAAAGGGAAAAAAAGGAAUAGAUGCAGCAGACUCAAAAACAAGAAGUAGUUUGGAUAAUCAAUAUACAGAAAUGAUAAUGUAAACGUGGCUGCAUGAAAAGGAUUUGAUCAACUAAGAGGCUUUUCUGUUUGCCUACAUUCUUGUUUUUCAAUUCUAUCAGUCAGGCUUUCUCCAUCUCAGGUCCAUACUUCAGUGGAUCAGUCCAUCUGCCACGUGCCCACAGUGCUGGGAAGCCAAGGAAAUGCACAGCUACCCUGACACUGAGCCUUGCUUACUGGCACUGCCAGUAGGAUCCAUCGUGAGUUACUGAGUCAUGUGAAUUAAGGAGUAAAAAAAAACCCACAAAACCAGGCUUGCCAGAUGUGCUUUUUUCACAUAUUUUGACAAUUAUGGUUGGGCUUAAUCAUUUAUGAUAAUACUUCAUAAUGCUCUAGCAAAUGCUCUGGAGUAUACUCUGUAAAAAAUAAUGAAGUCUUAAGUAACAUGGCAACUCACUCAGCUUUUAAAUUUUUGCUCAGAAGCAGAAGGAAACAGCUUGUGUUUUCUGCAGAUUAUGGAGAACUACCACAGGAAAAUUAGGAACAUUUCCAUUAUUGCUUCUCUAUCUCUUUCUUAAGCAUUAAUUGUCAUUAACUACUGUAACAUUACCAUUGUUAUGAAGCAACAAGACACCCACAAAUAAUAUCUUCACAGCACUAAAGGAAGAAAUGCUAUCAAAUAGUAAUAUGGAGUUGUACAAAAGAAACUACAGGAAAGGAAAGGACUAAUAAUUUGUGUCUAAAUAAAAGUCAGCACUCUAAUUCUCACUGAAAGCCAGCUGUCAAGUCCUGCAUAACUUAACCAUCUACUCCCUUAUUGUGGCUUUGCUCAGCAAUUCAGCUGGCUGUAAGAUAUCACAAAAAAAAAAAAAAAAAAAAAAAAAAAGGCUUCCUUCACUUAAAAAAAAAAAAAAAAAAACCCACGUCAUUCCGAUAGAAAUUUUCCAUCUGACUCCUUUAUCACAACUUCUGGACAGGGUUGGAUAAGCACCAAGCACAGCCACGUGAUCUGGCAGAGCUCAUUUAUGAAACACAAUGUUGAUAUGUAAGCAGUUAAGCAUCUUGUGUCAGUAACACUGACACGAUCUCAGCUUUGAAAAAUGUCAACAAUUGAACAGUGCCUGUACUUAAUUUCAAGGAAAUUAAGGAAGUCUGUGGAAUUCAAAUAAAUUUGCUAUUUCCAUACUUCCUUGUUUUGCUGAUUGGCAGCAGUUGCCACUGUAACAUAAGGUGGAAAAUAGGAACAACUUGCACAGAUCUAUCAUAUGUUUCACAUUCUGUAAGUGUUUAGGUGGGAAGGAGUUAUUGUUCCAAAGCUCAAAAAGAGGUAACAGAGUAUUCACUGCAGAUGCAAGUCUGAGGCACUCACCAUUUCAUAAAAGCAGAAUCCUUCCAAAUGUUGUGCCAAUGGAGACAGUAAACUGACAAGAAAUGUAGAUCAAUGUUCUUUAAACAUUUCAGCUUUUCUGAUAAGCAAACAUUUCAGUCUGUGUAAUAUUGUCAAACUACAGCUGCAGAGAAUUUUGAAGAGGCUCCUAUGCAUGCUUUAAAUAUUCCUAUUCCUUUCUACCAGAAAAUGUUCUCAAGAGAGCAUAACGCCAACACAGUUCUGUUCAUAUUGCAGUCAGCUCCCUGUAUCAACUCUGGGAGAGAGUAUGGGCAAAAGCUCAAUGAAAGCUUGGAAUUCGAUGUCACUGCCUGACUGAGGCACUUCACAAGUUGCACCAGAGGAAACAGGAAGAUAAUUUGCCUCUGGAUUUGUGCAUUAAAAACAUAACUGAUGUUGCAGAGAGAAAGGAUUUGGCAAAACAGGCAGAAGGCUACAGGCAUUGCACUGCCAUUAAAUUAGCAUUUAAUCUUUCCUUUACAAGACACAGCAUUUUCCUCAGAAAAAAAAAAAAAGAUCUUUGCAAGAUAGCAGACUCUGAGAUCUGUCAAAUAAUCAAAAAGCUGAUUUCUUGGCAAAGAAAAAUCUUCCCAAGAAAUAAGACUUUUUGAAUGACACAUAGAGAAAUGACAGGAAAAUAGGGAGAACUUCUUGGUUCACAGGAAGAAAUUUUUAUGAGCUCAUGCCAGGAGGCAAAAAUAAUCUUUAAUAUUUAGAAGAUUUUAUAGAUAUGUGGAAGGAGCUAUAUAAAAUUUAGAUUCCACCAUUAAAACUGAGUCUAAAAUGUGCAAGGAAAUAAACAGAGUAAUGCACCUAAGGCAACAUACAGCCCCAGGAGCCUUAGGCCUGUGUCAUGAUUGAGGAACAGCAAUUUGUAUAUUUGGAUCUGUAUGCUGCAUGUACAAAGACUAGCACACAAAAAUUUGAAAGGCAGGGAGGUACUAUCAUCUUUGCAAAUUAUUUGUAUUUAAUAGGGUUUUUUUUCUGCAUGAAUCAGUAAAGGUUUCAAAUUGCUGUCCUUCCAUUGCUCACCAUUGGGAAAAACAAAAAAUAUUCUGUAGAAAUACAUGAUAAUUCAAUAUCCACUUAAAUUAUCUUCUUUAUAACUUUACUCCUCCUUUUCAUUUUUAAGAGCUCCUACCAAGAGGCAAAAGUAAUAUUUAACCAUCUAAGGCCAGUCUGAAAACAAAUCAAGCUGACAGUUUAGAAUGCACCAUCAAUGACUAUUUACUUUCCAAUAUACACUAUUUAAUAGAUCGGUUAGGAUGAUAGAAGUCAUACUCUAUGCUUGUGAGACACCAAGUAGAGAUGUUUUCCAGAUGGCAGAAACCUCCUAUAUCUAGGUGAUAAAACACAGAAGAUGUGUAACAAUACCACUACUAAACUUUCCAGAAGCAAGAAAACAAGCUGGCUUGCAGAUCAUUUUACAAUGCCUUACCAAUAUUUUGGCAAUGGCUUUCCCAAUUAAAAAAAUUAACCUGAUAGUUCCUUCUUACUAUUUACAAUAGCCAAGAUCCACCAGAGAAACUGAAAGCAGGAAUAGCAGUAGCAUCUAGAAAACUCGACUCUCACAUCAUAUAUUAAAGAGAUUGAGAUUUUCAGGUUUCACAAGGACUUCAAGGGAAUUUAUGUUACAGCAUUUGAGCUCAUUACAACAGCUCAAAAUCGAAGAAGAUCAGAAAUGCCAAAAGAAAACAAAAGAUGUGUCUAACAUUUUCCCCAAAUUCAACUUGUGCCUAUGAUUUUACAUCGACAUAGAAAAUGAUAGUAACAACAGAGUCAAACACCUUUGCAUCAAGUUGGUUCGAAGAAGUGACAUUAAAGAUUGUGUCUGCAUAGCUUUAUGAAUAGUAAAGCCUUCAUGUUAAUAAAAAGGCUUAGCUAUGCACCCCUCCCAGCCUUAUGGAAAAACAAAUUUAAUUAAAUUGCUUUAAAGGAACCUAGUGUCCAUAAAUUUUAAUGACGUUUUAAUGUCCCUAUUUUAAUGACUUUUCACCUGACCAUCUCAUGCCUUUUGAUACACUACACAACUCUUUUGAACUUCUCCUGUUGCCUCCUCUCUGAUUGUUGGUUGUAAAGGAAACCCGAGAUUCCCCCUCAUCAUUCAGCUGAUUUAUCCUAGAGGAACAUCAAGAAUGAGUGUCUGCUCUUAACAAAUUUCCAGUUUCAAUUUUACAGUGAAAAGUAUACAUCCCUACAGAUGAGCUGUAACAAAACUAAUUUCAGAAAUCAACCUUCUGACACUUCAUGCACGUGCCUAUUAAACAUUAUUCACAUCUGAACAGUAACAUUUCAGAGAUACGUGCAAUGAACAUCGAUGUACAACUAAAUCAACAUCAAAGGCUAUUAAUAAGGACCAUUUAGUAAGUUGAUGACUAUUGUCUAUUCACCUAGUGUAUGUAACCAGAGUUUCUUGGAAGUCUUAAUACUCAAGUAAAGCUCCAGGUUGCCAUGGAAAGCAGCAGCAGAAGGCAGCAUGGAUACCAAGGUGUAAAGUGAUAUAGGGUUAUCCAAUAGUUCAACAUAAGAAAAAAAGGCCUCUGUGGUCUUAUCUGGUAUUGAUUCACUUCUUCAUACAUCACCUCUCUCACUUUCUGGACAAAAAUAAAAUAAAAUCAAGCAAUUUACAGCACAGAAAAGAUUUUUUUGUGUGUGUGCAAGACAAUGUUUACUUCUCUCUAUAGGAUUAGGCAGGUACCUAUUUGCAGGGAACAGGGGAUAACCUGGAUUAAGUUUCUUGCUGCUUCUAGGGAGAAAUAACUUGUUUGCAAAACACUUCUGAGGCAACUGAGCCAUUCAGAAAGAUUAAAUGAAUUCGGAAAGAAGAGAAAAAUGGUGGUAAAGGAAAAUACUCAGAAAACAAAGAUACAAUCAAGAAAAAUAAUAUACUGAAAUGAACAUAUGGCAAGUACUUAUUGGCAUAUACCUGUUAAACUUCCCCUGAAGAAACAUACCACAUAACCAGAAAGUAAAACAAGAUGUGACAGAACAAUAAGAAAUACUGAAAGUAGCAUAUAUAAAAAAAAAAACAGUUAUAAACACUUAGCAAGCUAUUGACAACUGUUUUCAUGAAAUGUAGCUCCUUGAUCAGCAAUAGGAAACAUUCCAAUCAAUGUGAAGUCUAUGAACUGACUAUUUAUCCACGAUAUUACAAUUCCUUAAUUUCAUCCUAGGAUGCUCAUUAUUAAAUGUUUGAGUAUUUUCCACCUAUAAAAAAAACACAGCAUAAUAACUCCUCUAACUGGAAACAGAAGGUCAUUCGACAUCUUGAGCUGGUAAACUAUGAAACAAAGACAUAUGUCCUUCAGACACUGUGGUGACAACACUGAGAUGGAACAAAUGUUUUCAGAAGGCCACUGCAGGAUGGACAAGCUGUAAGCUUGUUACGGUUAUGCAGAGAACCGUUCACAUGAUAAUACGGAAUAAAGAAGUCAAGUCCUUUAGAAAGCAUUUAUGUCACUGGAAGAACCAAAGGAUCUGUGUGCUGUGCAGGUGGCAUCAGAAACUUGCUAAAAAGAGAUAGUGCAGCCCAUUGCUUGUUCAGUACACAUCUUGUAUACUCAGAAGGUCUUUUUCAUAAAAUUAAGAUCUAAAUGUUCAGAAAAAAUAUUACUUUCUCGUGAGAAUAUCCUAAUGAGACACACAUUGAGAUCUUUGAGGAUGAAAUGGCUGCUGAAGAUUUGUCAUAUUCUCCAGGAAAGCACCUCACAUUCACAGUCAGAUGCCUGCAAGCCUAUAGCAAUGCGUCCUUCUCACUGAUUCACUGAAGGGUGAACCAUACAAAUACUAAAAAUAUUACCUUGCAUUUCUUCUAGGAUGAAAAGAUGAAAAUAACCAUUAAGCCUAUACAUAAAAAGUCAUAGCACUUGUUCUUCUCUUGUCUGUAAUGGCCAGAAAGAUUACAGUUGUCUUUGAAUCAUGACAGCACUUUAGUAAUGGAAUGUACUCAAAGGUAAUAACAACUGACCCUCUCCCUUCCAACAGAUGAACAAACCUGUGUUACCAGAACAUCUUUGUUCUUCCAGUAGAGAGCCAAACUAGACGCAGCAGCAGACAGCACAGCAAUAGCAUGAGUAGCACUGUCUAACUUCCUCACUGCUGAUCAUCCUUGAGAAACUACUAAUUAGUUAGAAACUUUAAAUAGGCACCUUCCACUGGUUUCUUUAUGAAACCAUGUCAUUCAUCUCAUUUAAGUGGAACUCCAAGAAAUGAAUGUGUGGAGUUCAGAAUAACACCUUUUUUUUUUUUUUUUUUUCUUCCCCAGAAGGAUUUUUCUCAUUUUGCUGUUUUCUUUUCUUUUUUUAAUUGCCCAGAUUCACCAUUUUUGUGAUUGAACACCCCUUGGGAGGUGAAGACCACUUAGCUAUUUAUUCACACAAGCAAAGUGGCUUUGAAAAAAAAUUGUGUUUUCAUUUUCAGACUUCUGACAAAUGAGAUCGACUCAUUAGUAAUUAAGAAGUAUACCUUUAAUAGCUCAUCCUUUUGGCAUGCAGAAAGACAGAGGAAAGGAAAUAGAAUAGUUCUGGAGAAUGAGUUUGUCAAAUGUGUGCGUUUUCUCACAUGAGAAAGGUGAAAUUCUCACAUAGUUUAUUUUUUCCAAUUUUCUGUCCUGCCAUCUUCAUCUGUAAUGAUUGAUCAAAUAUCUCAAAGCACUCUCAUGAGACUAACAGUUCAUGUUUGAUGACAGAAGAAUAAUUCUGGAUCUGCUACCACUUCUAGAUAGCCAUAGCACCUAGGAGUUUAUCAUCUAAACAUUACCCUUGUGACUAUAAAGAGAGAUGUAGGUGCAGGUUACAUUGUCAGUAUGUUUUUGGAUAGAAAACAAGCACUUGCUUGUUUUAAUACAGUACUCACAUUCUAAAUUUAAUUUAAAGAACUAUCUCAAAACUACACAUAAACAAGAAAAAAAACUGUUACAAGAUACCCUACCCUAUUCAUUUAUUCUAACAUCUUCUGCUACUGCCUCUGAAAUAAUACUCUUCAUUUCCAUUAUUUCCUGUCAAGAAGAAAUACAGUCACAUUUGCUUACUGGUGUUGCAGAAUUUCAUAGCCUUACUGCAAUACGGUCAGCAGUUAGCAAUACUUUUAAAGCCCCAGCUGUUUUAGGUCUAUUUCUUUUUAGAAAUCACUUAUUUCACAUCUGCAAAACGAGGUUAGUGAAGAUUUAACUCUAUAACAACACCUACACAUUUGAAAUGGAUUUCUAUAAAACAAAACAAAACAUUUAUCUUAUUAUUUGCAUUCGACAAUUCUGCAUCUAAUUUGAUUUGAAUUCAAAAUAGUUGACUUCACCUCCAGCCCUCCUCAUACUCAGCCAUAUUUUCCUAUGUCUGUAUGUCUUACAGUGUUGUUCAAUCUUCAGUGCUGGAUUUCUAUUCCCACUAAUAUUAUCAUCUAAACUUCCUAAUGAAAUGUAACAGUUGUGUUUUUACUGGCUGUAGCAAGAAUUAAAAUAUAUCAAUUUUCCCAAGGAAGAAAAGAACAAUUAGAAAAGCUUCAUUCUUAACUGGAAACAAAGGUAUUCUACUAGGCCAUAGUCAAAAAAAUUCCUUUCUCAAAGCAGUAUUAAAAAUUUAUCAAAAGAAAAUAUUUUGAAAUAAAUAAAUCUUCAACCUGUGGAGUAUAACACUCAGGAGUCCUUGCUUAAACAACAAUCUAAGUAAGCCAAGCUAAGCAUUUGCAAUAACCAAUUUCCAGUUUAUUAGCAUCUUGCAAAGAUUCAAGAUUCUGUAUUUGUAGUUUUUCACCUCACCACCUCCUGAAUUUCUCUCAGCUGUUCUCAGCUAAUAAAUACCACCUCCAAAUACUUAAAUAAAUAACGUGUAGAUUAUUUUAACCUGCGUAUUUUCAGAGCGGGACUGGUGUCCAAACGACAGAGAGGCACCCAGGUAGUCCAGCAGAGUCUAUGGCCUUUUAGCUCUCACUCUUCCACUUUCUGCUCCCUUAGAGCUACCCUGGGACUUUGCUGACCACAAUAGCUUUGGGCACUCUCACCCAGAGACUUAUUCAAUCACUCAGCCAACAAUACACCUGAUUAAGAGAAAUGGCCUUUUAAUAAUCUUCUACUCCACAAAUUCAUACCCUCACAUUAUAGGCCAGAACAACAAGAGGCAUUUCAUCAACUUCAAAAGUAUAAGUCAGGUUGAUGUUCAUUAAAAAUAUAUAUUCUGCUGUGCUUUGUGUUUGAAACCACUGUCUCUAAAAUGUGUCAACAAAUGAAAGCCAACAAAAAUUGUACAGCUGAGCUGGUUGUGAUUCCCGUGCUUACGACUGACUUCCCUGGUACACAAAUGCUUAACAAUAUAUUUUGUAGUAUUUUCUGAUAUUCCUCAUUGGGAAAAAAAAAAAAAAAAAAAAAAAAAAAGAACAUAAAAAAAUCCAUAAGAAAUACUAUAACUGAUGUUGUAAAUAAUAGCAUACAAUAUAUUGAGUCAGUCUGAGUUGGCACUCUGUGUUUCUAUUGGAAGAUUCAUCCAUCAUCAAAAUCUUUCCUCUCCAUAUCCCACUGAAAGCUCCUAAGAACUGCUUGGGCCUCUCACAAUUAUUACAUUUUAUAGCUUAUAAAACCUUAGUCUGCUUAGGAAGGACUAAUUAACCUCAUUUCAUUAAAAUUGUAUGCAGACCUGGCUAUACUCAAACUUGCUGAGUACCCUGAUGGCUAUUCAGCUGCAGGUCACCAUACUGAAACCUAAUUAUCUAAAAAAUGUAGAUACGCCACUCUGUGAGAUGCAUGUUCGAACUUGAAUGCUUUUUGUGAGAUCAGGUCUUCAAAAUGGUUAAAUAUAUUCAUGUCAUUACAGUGUCCAAGUUCAACCACAAGCAAUAUAAGUUCCAGCAAUAAUUUAGAAAGGACCUAUCGAACAGAAAUGAGUAAUUUAAAAAGGAUAAGGAAACAUUUAUAUUUAAUCACAAGCAGCAACUAGAAGGAGAUCUACAUCAUAAUAUUAACUCUGGCUGGGAUUACUGUUGAAAAUUUUGCCAGUAACAUACAAACAGAACACACUUUGAUUAUAGUGUUAAAUUUGUUAUUAACCACUCAAAUCUAAACUGAACAACACACUGUUUUUUAAAUGAUUAAUUAGUAUGAGGUCUGAUCCAAAAGUAAUAUCUUCUAUUUUAUUAUGUUGGCCCAUUACAUCAGAGGAAGAUGUUGGUGGUAUGGCAGUAAAGGACGAACCUUCCCACCAAUACUUCCUUAAAAUUUGUUGCUGUGAGACAGAUGGCAGCAGAGGGGCAGUCUGACAAAAAGGCACCUGACAUGGAAGUGCAGAUGAAUCAGAGGUGUGGGACUGAAUUCCUCCAUGAAGAAAAAAUAGCACUGACAUUCACUGACGCUUUUCAAACAUUUAUGGAAACCAAAGAGUGCAUGUUAGCAAAGUGAGGUGGGAGUGUAUCAUCGGUGGCUGAAAUUUCCUGAAAUUGACUUAAUUUCUUAAGGAGAUGGGCAGAAUGGGGUCAGUUGGUUCCACUUAUUUGUGUGCUUAAAGAUCAUGUACUGAGGACAUUAUCAAAAUGCAACUGAUUAGUUUGCAAUAAACUGCUGUGUUAUUGGCCUUGGAGACUUGAAAAUUUCAGAGAAAUGAUGAUGACGUUGCACACUGAACAGCAAUCACAUUCACCAAAAAACAAUCGCCUAAAAUACUAUGUGAGCACAGAAUUAUUAAAAAGCACUUUAUUAGAAACAACACUGGUUUGGCUACUCUGAGUCAGGGUUAUGAUCUGUGUGUCAGGACAAGUUGAGAGGAAUUUAUGAUGUAAAAUCACUUCCUUCAAUAAGGUCUGGAGCAUCUUAGAAGAAAAUCAUUUUCUGAUUCAGAAAAAACCCUACAUAAAUCUGGAUAAAGUAUCCCUCUGUUGCCAUAUUAGCCCAGAAAAGUGAAACCAUGUCAGUAACUUGGGAGCUGUCUCACACAGGUGCAAAAUGGAGACAUGAUUAUGAAAUAGCAAUCAGGCCAUGUCAGCUAUUGCAAUCUUUAUGAAAAUAAAAUGAGCAGGGAAGACACUGUGGAAAAAGUGAUCUACCCUGAAAUUAUUUAAAAUGUCUCACUCCUAUUCUGAAUUCCAUCAAAGGAAAUUAAAAACUUCUAAAUGCCUUCUCCAGAUUCUGAAGGAGUCAGGAAAACAAUUCCAGAGGAAUUAUUUAUAGGAGGAAGAAAUUUUGCAUUGUAAUAAUAGCUUAAAUAAAAUAAUUCAAGUCAUAAAUGGCAACAGGAUCUUCCUGGGGAAAAGUUUGUACCUCUGGAGUACACUUCCCUUCAAAACAACAAAAACCCAGAUGUGGCACCUUCAAAGACAAUGCAUGAUCUCAGGGCAAAUGGCAAAUUUACUCAUUAUUUUCUAGUUUUUUGUUAUCUGCAUACAAAAGCUUUUCUCCAUUUUGACUUCAAAUUUCUUGUGCUUACUACAUAUUCUUCUGGCUGAUGUUUUGAGCACUUUUACUCUGAGUAAUUGUGUGCUGACAGUUUUCAUAAUCACUAAUUGCACUAGAUGACUCCUGUGAUCAGAAACAAAGCAUUUGGGAAAGAUUAAGUGAAUGAAACCAUCCUCUGAAUCAAUAAUUACGCUGAAGUCCUCUUAUGGACAGAUACAUUUUUCUUCUGCACAGAAUGAUUUAUCCAAUACUCCUUAGUUUCACUGCCAAUGCAAAAGCUUUGUUAAAUAUGAAAAUGUUGCAUUUUUUGUCCUUUCUGUAAUAGAGCAUUGUUUCAGAUUUCUUAAUGUUUCUAAUAAACAACAAAUAGAGCUGGCACAUAAAAUAUUUCAUGAGUGUUCGUUCCAAACAUAUGGCUAAUGAUGAAAAUUUAUAAAAUAAAAUCAUAUAAUGGCCUGGGUUGAAAAGGACCAGAAUGAUCAUCAUUCAAGGAACUAAACUGAAAAUAGUUAAAAAAAAAAAAAGACAAACAAAACUUUUGAAACAAUUCAAAAUUCAAUUAGGAUAGAUUGCAAGGUUGUUGACUUGCUAAAUAGUGCUCUCCUGGCCACAGAAAUGUUUAUAAAAUUAUUGGGAUAGCAAAUGAAAUUCAUAGAAAAAAUCUGAAAAGUUAUUAGCUUUUAAUGUAUAAAUUGGAGACAUCAGAAGAAUCCCUUAAAGAGACACUUCCAGCAGAACAGAAAAACUACAAACCUAAUCAGCCGGAGCCUUCAUUAUAAUGUCCCAAUUCCAAGCUAUUCUCACGUAGUAUUGCUGUGCACACUACGGAGUAAAAGUUCUGCUUUAAAAAUCCUGCCGCUCUUAAUUCAGUUCCUAGACUCAGCUACCUGGGCAUUCGUGGCCACAGAUACCUGUUGAAAUUUUUGUUUUGGUGUUCCCCAGCCUCUAAUAUAGGGGUUCAAGAUUAACCUUCUCAUUGCUGUUCCACAAACAGAACAAUGUAAAUGAAAGAACUAUUAGAAAUACAGGUAUUUUAUCACAUAUUCAAUGUUCUUUCAGAUUUAACUGGCUACACAGCAACAGACAGAUGCUCCCAAACGUGACCUUGAGUCACUAAUGACAAUAAAGAAAUAUGGCUAUUUUUUUUUUUGUCUCAUGCUUAACAUGGGCUACUACAAUCUUUGUCAACUAUGUCCUGUACUGAGCGAUAGAAAGUACUUUACUUCAGACAAGUUGCUUUGUUUAAUAGUGGUCAGAAACUGUGAAGAGAAACCUGAUGAAGAGGUGAGAACUUUCAGAGAACCUGUAGCAAAGGAGUAGGAACCAAAUUUUUUGAUAAACCGUGAGAAUCCACCUUAAAGGAAAAAGAAAUACAAACUAAUUACUUAAACUGCACAUGCUAACAGACUGAACAAUGGGGAAAUCCAAGUAGAACAGAAAAGCAGCACUGAGACCAAAUUCCAUGAACAGUACAGCAUAACUGCUGUCAAAGCCAAUGUCUUGGGGAGCAGUAACCUCUACUAACUCCAACAAUGCAAUUUCCUUAGCUUAAAAGGAAAAAAAAUUCACUGCCAUUUGAUCCGUACAACCUAAUGAGAGCUAAGAAGUGAAUGUUGGCACACAAUGCUAAAAGUUUUAUUAAAUUACAAACAGAAUAAAUUAUUUCUUAAGAAAGAAAUGUGACCUCAAUUUUCCUUUGAAAGGAGUGUUCUAGUCCUUGUACAUACGUGAUGACUUAUAUCCUCUUACACUUUUAUCAAAUGUAAAAGUCAAGGGUCUUGCUAACAAAUCAUAAGGAAUUGAUAAUUAACAAAAUGUUAUUUCUAAGCUGCCAGUGUCAUUGCCUUACACAACAGCAGCUAUAAAAGAAACUUUGCAGCACAGCAAAAUCGAGGUAGAUCUGCUGAGGGACAAAGUUAGUACUGAGGGCCCAAUGGCCACAAUAACUAUAUUGGUGGAAACAGACCUAUUCAGUACUAGGAGCAGUCUGCUUCCUGGGACAGCACCAGAUCACUACUGGCACCAGUAUGUGCUCUCCUGGAAGGCAUUUACUCAGUUGGCAUGUUCAAAGACUGCUCCAUGAGGCAUAUGAAAAUGUAAUUACCUGGAGGCAACCAGGACAAUUACUUCACAUACACACUCCUGAUCCAAAUCAAAAUGCUAAUCUAAACUCACUCAUUGUAACAUGCAGAACUAGAGACAUCCACACAUUUCAGUAGCUAUAGUAUUAAUGGUCUGGAAUGCAAAAAUGAGAGCUAAUUGUAAAUAACUUUCUCCUAUCUAAUCAUUAGCGAGUUUCAUAUCCUUAAGACCUGUGUACUUAAUAAUUAUUCAAGUGUCACUAAACAUAAUAAAUGCAAGUAAUACAUUUAUUAUUUACAAAAAAAAAAAAAAAAGAUUUAAAUAUAUACACAUAAUGAAUUGCUUCUCCUAAGUAUAAAAAAAAUACGUUACAAGUUUCCACACAUAUUCAACAGCUAAAAGGUUCCAUUUGGGCACCAUACCUCCUGCAAAUAAAUAAGUGAACAAUUUCCAAAGAGUUUCUGUUAUACGGAACUCUUCUACAGAUCUGGCCAUGACCGCAAUUACCAUGUUCUUCUGACAUGUUUAGCUUCAGCCACCUAACCUAACAGCUUCUUCUGUAGAAGCCUAGGAAUUACACCAGAUAUAGGAGAAGAUAAUGAAAACAAAAAUUAAGUCAAAACCUUUCAGAGAAUUAUGUUGAGACAGACAAGAAUUCAUAAGCAAAUCACUAGAAAUGAUUAAAUGAUGGAGCUUGACUUUAAAUGCUGUGAAAUGACUUCAGUACUGGAGGAACUUCAUUACUUUUGCAGCUUGCAUAUAAUGGAUUUUUUGGAGUAUAAUUUCCUCCCCUGAAAAGCUUUGAGAUAUUUUAAUAUGUUUGAUUAACUAGUCAAGAAGCAAAGUAAACAACUGUAAUUUUGGUAUACUAGUAUCCAAAUAACUCAGGAGAAUAUCUGUGAGCACAAUGAAAACUAAACAGAGCCAGAAAUGCCUUGUAAAUAUUACAGUAGUUGCUUCUGCCAAAAUAUUGCCAGCCAGCACAGAUUACAGUGCCAUAAUUACAGUAGAUGACAUAAAAUGAUUAUAAAUUAACAGUCUGUAGUAUGAAGUUAAACAUUAUAUAUAUUUACUAGGUACCUGCACAAAAUAUGAACAAAGGACUGUGAAAUAUUGUAAAAGAGAAAUCACCAGGGAACCUGUUUCUGUUUUAACUCAAGCUCAAUAUUUUUCCACAAAGCUUCUCACAUUUUUCUAGAGUCCUUUCCCAGUCAAGUAGUAAUUUAAAAAUGUUUCAAAAAAUAUCUAAAUAUCUUAAUUUUUACCAAAAAGUUCCAGAAAAUAGGAAGGCAAUACAUACAACGUACUCAACUAUCUGUGAUUUAGUCCUUUGCUAAAUCAAAAGCCUACAAAACGUACUCAUGCUGAUAUGACAGGAGUUCCUAAUAAAUGAGGAAAUAUGGAAUCUGGUUUCUAUGCUGCCUAUUCAAAAAACACCUGAAUUUCUGUGUUGUUAUUGCUCACUUUCAGAUCCUUCUCAUCUCCAAUUCUGGGGAAACUGGAUAGGGUUUCCCUUUCCUUGAGAUGAAAGUUUCUAGGAUGUGUUUUAGGAACCAAGCCUAAGAUUUAGAUGAUUUCCUCUGCCUACACUGCUCAGUAUUUUUGAAACUGGCACAAUUAUUACUUGUCAUUUAACUUCCCUGAACCAAAUCAGAAAAUUUACAUCUGCAAAACGUCAAGAAGAAAGGGGAAGCAGAAACAAUCCACACUAAAUCAGAGGGUGGUUUCUGUGUGAUAGUUCAGUGAUGAUAGGUGAGGUACAGGAAACAAUCCUAUGCAAUGAUCACCAAAAACUUGAGAAGUUGAUGUGAUACUAAGUUCUAUGGAUGCAAAAAAAUGUUACUACUUUCUUUUAAUGAGAUCUUUCUUAGUAUUUGAUUUAUUUUCUAAUGACAGUAUAAAGCACAUUGACACCUUUUUGUUUCCACAUCAUCACAAGUUCUCUGAAGGCUUACAUUUAAAUCUCUCUGCUAUAAUCACAGUGGUUUCAAAUUAGCAUCUUAAUGAAUUCUCCAUGGACUUGUGUCCUUAUGCGUUUUCCCUUUUCUAAUCUCAUAUCAUAAUGGUGCCAUAACUGGGUCCCUUCUGAUUCGAGCUGAAAUCAUUAUGGAACACUUAACAGCAAAGAUACACUAGAUUAAACAGAAGAGAAAUUCAGUAGCAUUGUAAAAGAGCAGAUUAUGAUUUCUGACUUUUUUAAAGCAUUCUCAAAGAAGUCAGUCUCUGUGCACAAAAGGUACCUGGUAGUCUGAAAAAUUCUUAAUAUGGAAAAUAUUCAGCUAGAAAUUUUUGAAUUCAUUUAGUACAGAACUACACUAACUGUUAACAAAACCACCCUUUAAAAGUCAAAUAAAUGAAAAACUGCAACUUAGAGCCCAACCUGGUGAUGCACACAAUUGUAUCAUGGAAAUUUAGAGGAGAAUGACAAAAGGAAACAAUAAAACAUUAAAUGAUAUUUUUGUAGCUGAUGUCUAAUUGGAGACACAGAGAUAUUUGGUAUCUACAUCAGAGUUGCUGAAUACCGGUACUUAUUUAUUUCCUUGAAAGGUAGCUGUAAGCAGCAGAACUCUGAAAAAGCUCACCUAUCUUUAGAAAGUCAACUCUACGCUGGCCUUAGUUCAAACCUAAAUGAACAUAUCUGCUUCUCCAAAUUAUACAGAAUAUUCGGAAUGAAUGGAAAAAACUAAUUCACUUAAAAUAUAUUGAAUGGAGAAAAGACACUUAGAAUUGUACAUCUCUUCAGAGGAUCAGGAUGACUAAAUCAUUGAUGUCAGUAAUAUGCUAGGCCAUAAACUGUUGUGCUAAAUAAGAUGCAGGUAAAGCUCUGUAAUGGUAAGAAACUGUCAUCUCUCUAAAGCUCCAUCUUACCGCAAAAUAUUUUUUAGCAUUGGUAACUAUUUGCAAAUACCAGAGUGAACUGUACUCUAAGGACAAACCAGCUAGAAAGGUCUGCCCAAAAUAACAUACCAACUGAACUGAACCAAGUGCAGGGAUGGAAUUGCAGAGCUUGUAACUUCCAAUAAGGAGUGCACAACUGUCAAAUGCAAAUUGCUGGAGAUAAGAUUCAUUCUGUCUCUGGGGAGAAAAUAUGCUUCUUUCAGUCUUCAGUUUUGAUUCUCAUUUGAAAUAGCUGUUCAUUUUUGCUUCCCAGUAUAGAUACGUCACAGAGAGAACUGGAGAGAAGCUGUAUAUUUUCCCUAUAACAAAGCAAAAUAUGGAGAGGAAUUCCAGGAGAACCAACAAAGUCAUUUGCAUGGAAAGUAGGAAGACUAGUGAAAAAAUAAUUGUGAAAAGACCUCUGCACAGCCACAAUUUCAAAAGACAGUAUUUUUUUUGCCUUAAUUUACACCGUAGAAUCUAAAUUUGGCGCUUGAAGUACCUUCAGCAACUUCUAAUGCAGAUUCACUCCUAAAUUUUAGGAGACAGAAAAUGAUGUUUUAUCACAGAUUAGUUGGUAGUUUCCCAUCUCCUGUUUUAAAGUCUGUCAAUCUGACCGUUUUUUUAUUAAUUUAUUCAGUAGCUAUGGUGACAGUUCAUCUCUGUCAAUCAGCAGCAAAGGUCUAAGCCAUACCUCUCUGAAAACAAUUCCAGAAAUACAAUGUUCUGUAGAUAAAACAAUUAUGAGACUGGAUUAACAUUAACAAAAUUAAUAUGUAUUCUCACAGUGAGAUUAUGCUCAUCUCCCUAUGACAUUUAUUUUUGCCAUCGCACAAGUGCACACAGUAAGAAAAUGAAACCAUCUGCACUGAGCAUUAGGAUCACACUACCCAAACCCAAGGAGAGAAGACUGAUGCUGGGAAAACAGGACAAAACAGAUGAAAUUUUAAAUGAUUUUUUCCUCUACUAAUAUUUCAUGUAAGUACAUAAUAAUGGAAUGCCUGUAACUUUUACAAAAGGGUGGGAUAGGAUUACAAAACUAGAUUAGUGCAAAUUCUAGUUAAAAAUCUUUUCAUGUCAUGUACUAAAAGUCUCCAUUUCAGAGUGAGCCUGAACUGAUGGUUCUAUGCUUAUUUCUAGAGAAACUGGUAGCCCCACUAAAGGCAGAGCUUCAGUCUGAAAGUUACAUCCUCAUGGUGUGGAUUCAAAAGUCGCUCUUCUUCCUGACACCUCAUGUCAAUAGAAUACUAUCCAUUCUUCUUACUCCAUUAUUUUAGACAGGGACAAGGUACAUACAUUUAAGUUUGCCAUUUUAAUAUUCCCUCAACAUAAGCUCCUUCACAAGCAAACUUUUAUUUCUUUACUUAUUCUGAAACUGUAUGUUCAGAUGAUACUGUGAUCAUUAAUUCCUACACGUCUUUUUUCUUUUUUUUAUUAGGCUGGUCUCCUUCACAGGAUUAGUUCCCAAAUAGCCUCUGACUACAUGAAUUGCUCCACAAAUUGUCUCACAGAGCCAUACAGUGUUAUCAUCAAAAAAUAUAUAUUUAAUAAUACAGCUAUCACAAUCAAAAUCUCGAGAAUUAAAAUCCUCCAUGAUCAAAGUUCUGGCUCUCUUGCAGACUUUUUUUCUUUUAAAUCAGCAAUACAUGUUGUUAUCUGCUUUUCUUAACUGCCCUCAAGGGUUACAAUAACUGGAUUAUUUUAUUGUUCUUAUCUAUUAAAGCUUUCCAGUGUACCAGACAAAAUACUUAACUAGCUCUCUGUUGGCAGCCCAAUACCAUCUCGCAUCGAUUGAACCAAAAGAUUCCUUUGCCUUAUCUUGUUCAGUGUAGACCAGAUUUCCUGCUGCUCACUGCUAAAAAUAUUUAGUGAUUUUACUUCCCAAGGAAGCUCUGAUUUCUGUUCAGUAGACUGUACUGGGUAUGGUCUAGGGAAAUUUUUUUUCUAUGUUUGUUGUUUUUAUCCUUUGUCUUCCAAUUCCCAUUCGUUCUGACAAGUUAAGUAUUAUUGGGACCUACAGUUGGACUCUCUCUUCCUUCACCUCCUCUUUCUUUUCGCAUCUAGCCUAGAAGUGUUUGCUGCCUACUUUAAAUAAAUAGUUAAUGUACAUUCUCCUCACAGGUCUCCUAAGCAUCUUUGAACAGCAGUUCUACCAGUGUCACUGUUCCACAUGCAUGCAAAAUCACUCAGAAAUCUGACUGUAAACCUGUAUUAGCAGCAGUUCCUAUCACAGCAGGAACAUCUUCACGCUGUGUUACCAGAGAAAGAACUAAGGAUAAAGACAGAUACGAAGCUAAUAUGUCUGAGAAGGUGAUAAAGCACUGCAAGGCAGCUCUAUUAAUAACUGCAUAUAUCUGAGUCAGAUAGAGGGAAAUAAGAGGGCCACAACUGUUACAGGAUACAUCCAACCUUUUUUCCCCUUACCUAACAAAUGAAGGAAUUACUAUGCCAUGAACUGACACAAUACGAAUAGGGGUAUUUCCUACUGAUACUUCAGUUGAGAACACUUUUCAUUAUCACCAACUUUAACAUACCAGCAAAAGAUCAACUCACUAUAAUUCUGAGUACUUUGGUCAUUAUAAACAAUAUACUGUUGCAAUAUACUUCAAUGGUAGGGACAAAAAACCUUGUACAUUCAAAGUGCAAUAUUUUCUAAAAAAGAUAUCAGAUGGCUGAUGAGAUUUGGGGUUGUUCUGAAGAAAAUGCUGUGCUGGAAAAUCCAAGACUAAAAGCUAAUGAUGAAUUUGUAAAGCACUCAAGAUCACCUACACAACACGGAAGAAGCCAAGAAAGGACAGAUAACAGAGCAAUUCUCAACUGACAGUUCGAAGAAUCAAUUUUUGUUUUUAUCUCACUUGCUAUGAAAUUAAUGAGGUUUUCAUAGUAUAGUAGUGCAAAGACCUACCAUCUGUGUAAAUUCCUGAACUCACUGAAUUUUCCUUUGUCUGGCACCUUCUGUACUGCCCAGCAGUGUUCCCACUUUGUUUAUACAUUUGACAGUCUAAGCGUAUUUUCUUUUCCAGGGCAGGCAGCCCUCAGUUCUAGCUGUCUACAUUGUGAAGCUGACUCCACACAAAUCAACACAUGCUUUAAACUUGUCCUCAUAGUGUCUCAGUUGUGUACUGAUCUCUCAUCUAUUCACCAUGAUUUACAACAAAACAAAGGGGUGUGGGGAGGAACAACAGGAGACACAGAUUCUAGCACUUUGCAGUAUACAUAUUCCAUAACAACUGAAACAGAUAACUUUACGGGCGUACCACUACAAUACUAUUUAACCAUACUCUUGAAUUUCAGUUUUUGAAAUCAACUUAUGCAAAUAUAUAAAUAUUUAAGGCCAGGAAAUAUGGAAAGGGAUGUAAUAAUACUCCAGUCAAAAUGCUGCAACUACACAGAGAAGCUGUAACAACAGAUUGCUUUGUAGAAAUUUACUUCUGUUUGAAGUUCAUUGAUUUUCAUUCCAGCCGUUUAUUUUGCUAAGCAGUAGUUUUGAGCACCUAUUGAUCAUCAUGUUCUGAUGUGGCAGGCUUCUGAGAAAAAAAGUUAAACUAACUAGAACUAAUGAGCAAUUAAACUUGCUCACACAAGUACAGUUGUGGUUUAAUGGUGGCAAGCACAUGACAUGAAGAACAAUGUGUCCAUUUUCUCA